rnacentral:misc_RNA from 1 species
AAGUCGUAACAAGGUUUCCGUAGGUCAAGAGUUCAGCCUACUAGAGCAGCCUGUACAGGCUGCUAGUUGACGAUUUCGUCAGCGACACACUUAACUUGCGAGAAGGCCCGUUAAGGGAAAUUCGCAGCCCACCCCUCACCCGGGGGUCGGUUCAGAGACUCAAUAAGUGUGGGUUUGGCCCAGCCAAGCUUGAGAUAGAGCCCGUCCCUGCUGGUAACUCCAGGGAGCCAACGGAACCUGCGGAAGGAUCAUUAAAGAAUACAUGGCCUCACGGCCCUAUUCUCACCCUUUGUAUACUAA